rnacentral:piRNA from 1 species
AGGCAAAGGACUGACUGAAAGGCG